CUUCAUGUUGGCGCCCCACAAAAUGGCGGCUGAAGAAGCAAAGUUUAAGACAAUCAUCAUGCUAAUCCUACCUUCGUUUAAAGGUAAUACAUUUUAUUUAGCAUCAGUACUUUUAGUAGAGUACUUAGAUUGCUAAUAUAGAUAACAUUUUUGGACAUCGAGCUAGAAUUUAGAGCGAUAUUUCGGUAUAAAAUUUGUACUUUCCAUGGACCAUGUGCUUAAUGACCUUAAUCGCUAGUUCGGUAUUGUCGAAAUAAAAACGUGAUUUCGAUGAAGUCGUUGUUCAAUAGUUGUGGACCAACCUAAUAAAAAGACUUAGCAGAGUCUAAAAUUGUUUAAACCGCCGAACAAAGACUUAUUUUUGAGUUUUAUUGUGGUAUACCAAGGGGGUAUUAAAAGUUUUAUAGGACUUGAGGGCAUUUCUCACUCCAAAAACUAAGUACGCUAAGCAAAAAAAAUCCGGGAAUGAUCUGGCAAUUAGGAAAAUCCGUCAAAAUCUAAAUUUAAAAGUCUGUUCAAAUCCUUAAAUAAAAUCCACGAGAAAUCCGGAAAAAUCUCACAAAAUCUCUUUUUUUAUAACUCCAAGAAAAAAUCUGCGGAUUUUUGAACGUCUGAGAUGAAUUUCUGAGAUGUGUUCAAAAAAGUUAUUUCUGAGGGGUAAAAUGGGCAUCAGCAUCCUUUGAUCUUAAUAGGGUUUUCUCUGAGAUCUGGCAAAAAUGUACAAAUCGGGUGUAAGGCCAGCACUUUGAACUUUUUUUCUUGGGGGUUCAAAUUUUACUGAGCUCGUCCAUAUAGGGGUGGAUUUUUUUGGAAUGGCCAUUUCAGAGAAAUUGAAUGAAAAAAAUUAAAAAUGGGUCAUUCCAGAAAAGAUCCAUACCCCCCCUACGGAGGAAAUCGAAAAUAACCCCCUUCCCCCCUUCGGACAUCCUUGAAUGGUUCAUCCUCCCCCCUCUCCGGACGUCAAAGCCCAAAAUUACUCCCCUCCCCUUCGGACAUCCACUAUUUCUAAAUUUAUCUAAAGGCUACCUUGCCGUUUGAAAACGUCACCGAAAAUUAGACUACGUUCACACUACGCGCGAGCGAACUAAUGCGGGCAGAAUUUACGUGUGUUCAGACUAAGCCAUUACAGUUUGUUUACAAAUUAAAUUAGCACUCAUGUAAACCCAAAAUAUUUGAAAUUGAGCCAAGAAAUUUAGCUGAAAAGCAUUCGAGUUUACAUGUUUGUGUUCACACAAAGCUAUCAAGCGCUCCGUUUUCACCUCGUUCCAUUUAGAAACCGUGCUCAAAUUGUUACGGCAAAAGUGACGUGAAAGUUUUCAAAUGAUUUCGCUCCAAAAAAUAUAACAUGCAGGAAAAAUAUAACAUACGUACAUUCUUAACAUGCAGGAUACGCUGUUACAGCGAGUUAGUUUUUGGUGGCCAUGCAUGCAAUAGUGGGCCGCUUAUUUUGCUUACGAGUUACGUGGACAUAUAAUUAUUGCUGUUACAUAAACGUUCCGGUGUUUAAGAGCUACAUAUAGCCGAUAAAAAUUGUAUGCUCAUUAUAUAAUCGCCGAUCACAUAGCUUUAUCACAGUCUCAAACCUUCAGACAAACAUAUCCACAUUCCUCCCUCCCCCUUCGGACAGAAAAAAUUUCCUCUGUGGGAGGGGUAUGGAUCUUUUCUGGAACGACCCAAUCACAAAAGAUAGAGAAGUAACACAUUUCUAAAACAAAAAAAUCACCAAAAAUAGUGAUUUUAUGAUUUUUUUACACUCAUUAGGGCUAUUUACACGACAGUCAAUUGUGGUGCCUGUGACUGGCUCUUGAUCAUUGCAGGUUAUUGGAUUGGGCGAAGAGGUUUAACUUCGAAAAUCCACCCUAAUUCAUUAUCAACAUUUUCCUAAAUUGAAAAACUGAAAUCUAAAAUCUCCUUUAAAAUCUACUGAAAAUUUUGCAAAAAGUUCCAAAGUGCAGGGAUUUGGGAAUCCAAAAAUCCAAGCAGUUAUAAAGUCUGUGAUUUAUAUCCUCAAUAAAAAAAUUCUCUUAAAUUCUUUGUAGUUCUACAUUGCAAUUUCCAAGAAUGUUUCAAGUUGUUGCCUGAAGAUUGAUUUCUGAAAAAUGCAAAUGAAAGGUAUAUAUCAUCUUUACUCUCUAAUUUGUAGCCUUAUUUUUUUAAUCGAUUAUAACGGUUGGAAAUCGGCUAUUUGCAAAUCACUCAAUGGCCGACUAAUUUUAUUAGAUCAAAUACACAGUUUCCAUUAGGUACAUUUAAGAUUUGUACCUACUGUUGAAAAAGGGUAAAUAAAGCAACUGUGAAAGAACACAAAACAUUUUCUUGGCUUCCUUGCAACAAGCAAUAAAAUCCUGAAUAGGUUUGUGUUACCAGAAAAUUUAGGAACAUUAUUUUUUGGGAACAAGAAAGUUUUGGUUGCAUAAAUUGUUGGGUCUGCUUACCAAAACUUGUGUAACAUGAUCAUGCUGGCCAGGAAGUUGCACAAGCUGUCAAUUAAAUAUUGAAAAGCUUGUUGACCAUUUUUGGCCAAUGUUUGAGCAACUGCGCAGUUGAUUUUGACAUUUGUCAGGCCCAAAUUAAAUUGUUAUAAUCCACACUUUAGUGGAGUACACUCCACUUGAUGAAUAAAAUUAUCUGGCAUUAGACAACAAGGUUAAUUAAUCCCCAUGGCAUUAUUAAUUCCCAAGCCUCUGGCGUAAAAAAAAUACCUGUGGUUCCGGUUUCAUAUUGUGAAAAAAUUAGGGUCGGUAGGUCGGAAAUAAUUUUUUUUUUUAAAUUUUUUUUCAUGGUUUUGGCGUUUGUCUGGAGUUACUGUAAGGCGCUUUUCGGGUCCUCGCACGAAGCUCCUCGCUGCGAGUGCUUGCAUCUAAUUAAAAUUAACUGUUUUGCAUUGUGAUUGGAUGAAGGUGCUCAUGCAUCACUCGCAGCUCGCUGCGAGGAGCUUCAUGCGAGGACUGGAAAACCCCUUAAGGCAGCAUAAUAAUUAACAUUAAUCCAGGGUUCGAAAUAACGGUGAUUCACAAAUCACGAAUCAAUUUUCAUUUUUCACGAACCCAAGUUCAUAGAAAUUGAUCAAAAUCACAAAUCAAAAGUUUCUCAAAUUGAUAAAAAUAUACAAUAAUAAAUUCAGUUCUUUGUAAAUGUGAUGAAGGAUCAUAUAUUCUGAAGAUAUUGUUGUUAGAUUGUACUUAAAAACGAUUAUAAUUCCACCCAAAAUUCUAUUUUUUUUGCGAGUUUGCGAUGUAUAUUAUAUAUUUGAAAAUUGCAGUGCUUCCACUUUUUUACUUCCAAUUAGCGAAAAUUUCUUGAAAAUUCCUUAAAAUUUCCUUAAAAUAAAAAAAUAAUUCACGAACCAUUUUUUCAGAAUUAAUUCGAACCCUGUAAUCUGUUUCAUCCAGUUCUUUAUAUGGUAGUCAUCUUAAAUAAUUAUUAUUUCAAACUUCUAGAUGUAUGGUGCAAGUUCCAAGAAUGUCAAUUUUUGGUUGAAGUGUUGCAGAUCGCACAAACGUGAACACUGUUGACAGAAAGUGUAAGAAAGGUCUUAUUUUUAUGUCUUAUUUUAAUUAUAAAAUGCUUUAAACAUUAUACAAUUUUCUGUGACCAGAGGCUGUGUUUUUUUUACCGUCAUAUUCAUUAAAAAAACGACAACAAAAAUAUAAAAAUCUGAAAUGAAUUAAGUUGGUGUAAAUCCACAAUAUUCAUUGUCAAUAUUUAUAUUAUUAUACAAUUAUUUUGGUGGAUAUAAAUUUGGAUAUAGAUAAAAGUUUCAUGCUCAAUUGGUUGUUCAAGUUUUGUGUUGCCCCCAAUCACAGAAUAUCUCAAAUGUUCAAAGUAUUUUAAUUUCGGAACAAGCCAAAAAAUGAUAAACUGUUUGUGUUUUAAAAAAGUUAUGAUUUUUCCUUUUAUUUGAAUCAGUACAGACAUAAAUUGGCACAGUAGUUCAAAAAACACAUACAUGUGUAUAAAUUAUGUGUUUAUUCAAGUUAAAUAUGUUGUAUUUACAUAUUUUGAAAGAAUUUUGCAAGUAUCAUAUAAUCUGUGGCAAAAAAUACGAGUAUUCAGUUUGUCAUUAUUUGGCUUUGUAACAUCAAUUCAUUUUAAACAAUGGGAAAAUUGAGGUGGUUUUACAACAGGCCAAAACAUUUCUAUAUGUUCAAACGUGAAUUAACAUUUGAUCUUUAAAUUCAAAAUUCAGUGUUUUCUGGAAAGGUCCUGUUUCUUCUUUUGGUAUCAACUUGAAGUAUGUUUAUCAAAUUAUCAAGAACAUAACAAUGAUCAAAGUUUCUGGGCAAAUGUAAUUUGCACUUGAAUUUGUUAAUCAAAAUGCAUUGUGAGAACAGAAUAUCCUUGGGCUUCUGGAUUACCAUCUCAGUAUUCUCUUGUUUAAGUAGACUUUCAGUAUUUGUUUGAGAGUUUGAAAAGUUCACUUGAAAAUCACAUAGUUUGUACCAAAAUUGAUUCUAGAUGAUACGUUAUUUGAGUCUUCAAAUAUUAUAUCUUGGAACAGACAAUUUGGGAUCAAUUGAAGUUUACAACUGUGACCUUUAAAAUUGACACUGUUAGAGCUGCUUGUUGUUUAAUAGUCUUGUCUUAUUUACCCCAGUACACUCUUAUUGUGAGUUUUGAUUAUUCCUGGACACAAAUAAAAUGGAUUUGUUGAGGAACAAGGCAGUUCUAUACAGUGCUGACUUAUAGGGGGGGUUGUGUUCUUCAGUUGUUCUUGGAUUCUUUUGGCAAACAGAUUAUUGUUUUUAACAACACAUUUGAACUUUGGAACAAACUUUGUGAUAUUAAAAUAUACUUUUCCAACUUUAAAACAAAUAUUUGACAUUACAAAGUGGAACUUGUUUGUAUGUGGAUGAACUGAAGCUGCAAGUUGGAAAAUGUCAGACAGCACUGAUAAUUUACUAAAUUCCAAAACAAUUUUUCAAGUCGAGAUUGUCUUGUUGGCAGAUUGACAUUAAAUCACAAUGUGCGACACCUCUCAGAAAUCUAUCUAUAUUUGACAUACUGGUACACGGGAAAUUUUUACUUUUGGAUUUUGCUGCCAGGAAGAGAAAUAUAUUUUCUAGUCCUGUGAAGCAGCAAACUAUGUACAAUAUUGGGGUAGCAUGAGCUAGAUUGUAAAAUGAAAAGAAAACCACAACCAGUCAACACAAUGGUGUUCUUUGGAAUAUGUUUUGCACUAUAACAAAGAAAAGAAAAACAAUAAAACAGUCAAAAGUAAAUUGUCUGGUAAAAAUAUGUUACAUAAUACACGGUACAUGUUUAUAUGCAUGAUGAUUUCAAACAUCAGUACGUUCAGCCAUUAGAGUUUCAAUAAUUCUUAAACAAAUUAAGUUCACACUUAAUGUAACAAUUUGGGAUGAACAAUCACAUUGAGGUGCAUCGAUACUGAAGAUAAGAUCGGCUGUCUUUGUGUUACGUGUGCAAAGACAAAGUUGAUCCUUAUGUAAUGAAAUUGAUUUAAUUUUGUAUGUUUGUUUCCUUGGCUUCAGUUCAACUUCAAAUAGUUCCACUUUGUAACAGUAUGUUAUAAUAGUCAUAAUAAUAAUAAUAUAAGAAAACAGGUUUACGUGGCAUUUGAACAUGGUCUUUUAAAGGUAAAGGUGAGUUUAUACUUCAAAGAGAUCUGUUUUUAACCUGACAACAAAAGUGUCCAAAAUUUACUAAAAUUAAUCUUUCUGAGCUUUUUUGCUUUAUGAAUAUAUUGAGG
rnacentral:lncRNA from 1 species